GGAGAAUGUUAUCACGGGAGACACACGGCGGGUGCUAACGUCCGUCGUGAAGAGGGAAACAACCCAGACCGCCAGCUAAGGUCCCAAAGUCAUGGUUAAGUGGGAAACGAUGUGGGAAGGCCCAGACAGCCAGGAUGUUGGCUUAGAAGCAGCCAUCAUUUAAAGAAAGCGUAAUAGCUCACUGGUCGAGUCGGCCUGCGCGGAAGAUGUAACGGGGCUAAACCAU
rnacentral:rRNA from 1 species